CGACCUGAGCUCAGACGAGAUGACCCGCUGAAUUUAAGCAUAUCAGUAAGCGGAGGAAAAGAAACUAACCAGGAUUCCCCGAGUAAUGGCGAAUGAAACGGGAAGAGCCCAUCCCGAAUCCCCCGUACCUCCUCAAAGGCCAGCGGGCGGAGCUGUGGGGUAGGAGGCGCCGUCGCGAUGUAGGGUUGACCCGUUCCUAAGUCUUCUGGAAUGUGGCCACAGCCCCGAGAUGGUGAUAGGCCCGUGAGGGACCAGGUCCCCUAGUCGCGUCACGCUGGCGUCCUCGAGAGUCCGGCUGCUUGGGAGUGCAGCCCAAAGGUGCCCGAGAGGGUUGUGGGUGGUAGGCUCCAUCCAAGGCUAAAUACUGGCACGAGACCGAUAGCGCACGAGUACCGUGAGGGAAAGUUGAAAACAACUCUGACCAGAGGGUGAAAAGAGGUGAAACCGCCUGGAUGGAAACGGAUGGGCACACAAGGUCGAACCGGGCGGCACAACCAAGAUGUUGCUUUGGGGGGCGGGCUCUGGGCCUCCUAAGGAGGCUGGCCUGUCCCACACCCCUCACCGAGGGGGAAGGGACGGGUCUUCCCGGGACAGGUUGUAGAUGGUUCUUCUGGCUUCCACUGUCGAAGCCGCCGGGCAGAGCUGAGUAACGCCCUGGCAACCGGUGUCAUGUGGCCCGGUGAGAGAGCCACGGCCGGUUGGGGCCUGGGCCAGAAGUCCGAGGGCUCGGAAGGUAUCCCCUCCUGUAGGGAUUUGACUCUGCUCCUUCCUCGGUCGUCUAACGGCAGGGGGAUGGUUGGUGGGGCGAUCCCUGGAGAUGGUGAGAUGAUCUGGGCCGAUGCUAAGUCAGCUGGCGAGAGAAAGGACAGGCCGGCCCCGACCGUUCCAGUGCAAGCUAUUCGCUGUCACCUCGAGAAAGGGCCGAGAAGGCCCCGAGGUCAUUGGCAGAGCCUGGGUGUGAAGGGGAAUUGGUUACCUCCGGUUCCCCGUGAUGCCUGAGCCGGCCAACCCGAUGCGGUCCAAUGACGGCUCCCCAGCUCCGGCGCCGCCCUUAGACCAUCUGGAGGUGGGUGCCCCCCUGGGCACCUUUCCCCGGGUGCAGCGGGCUGUCCACAGCCCGGCUCCCGGGCCAAGGGGAGAGCGCGCAAAGAUUGGGCCGGAGGAAUCGGGGGCUGGAGAGGCCAUGAAGGCAGAGGCACCCGGACGACAGGGGGUCGGAGACAGAGGGCGGACGAUGGGGGGCACGCCACGGCAAAAGAAUGGGAGAGGUGGUGGAGGAGGGGGUGCAGUUGUGGCCCCUUCUCCCCGCCUGCCCCAGCUGUGGCGGACAGCCCCAAAGAAGGAGAGAGGCUGGCGGGAAUGCCCCUCCUCCGAAAGACAAUGUCCGCUCCUCGGAGCCCUUCGGGUAGGAAGGGGAAAGCCGACCCUGACGCGGAGCAAGCAGUCGUGGCGAGUUGGUAACCCAUCCGACCCGUCUUGAAACACGGACCAAGGAGUCUAACAUGUGCGCAAGUCGCAGGGCGGGCACGAAACCUGUCUGAGGCGCAAGGAAAGGAAUGGCUGAGGUAGGAUGCAGGGGAGCAGGGAUCCUUCCCUGCUCUUGGGCCGCACUACCCUCCUCCGGGGGCCCUUCAACGUCCUCGGGGGGAGAGAGCGCACAUGGUGGGACCCGAAAGAUGGUGAACUAUGCUUGGGCAGGCUGAAGCCGAGAGAAAUCUCGGUGGAGGGCCGACGCGGUUCUGACGUGCAAAUCGAUCGCUGGACCUGAGUAUAGGGGCGAAAGACUAAUCGAACCGUCUAGUAGCUGGUUCCCCCCGAAAUAUCCCGCAGGAUAGCUGGCGCCAACAAUCGCAGUUUCAUCCGGUAAAGCGAAUGAGUAGAGGUCGGGGGCCUAUGUGCUGUCGCCUAUUAUCAAACUCUCAACGGGUGCGAGAGCCUGCCCCUCGUCUGGGGGCAGCCGCCGGUGGGAAAGAAGAAGANNNNNNNNNNGUGGACGCGGGGACGUAGCUUGAGAAUGCGUGGUGCUAAGUGGGCCACUUUUGGUAAGCAGAACUGGCGCUGUGGGAUGAACCAAAUGGCGGGCUAAGGUGCCUAAAUCGUCACUCAUCAGAUCCCAAGAAAUGUGUCAGUCGGUACAGACAGCAGGACGGUGACCACGGAAGUUGGGAUCCGCUAAGAAGUGUGUAAAAACUUACCUGCCGAACCGCCUGGCCAUGAAAAUGGAUGGCGCUGGAGCGACGUACCGAGACCCGCCCGUUCGCGGGCAGGCGAACAACGGGCAGCGAACGCAAAAGAAAAGAGGGAGCUGGUCCCGUGCCGCCGGGGAAGCCUGAACGAGUAGGGGGGCGCGGAGGUGAGCGCAGAAGCCCGGUCCGUGGGGCCGGGAGGAGCCGCCUCUGGUGCAGAUCUUGGUGGAAGUAGCAAAUACUCCAGAGAGAACCUUGAGGGCCGAAGGGGAGAAGGGUUCCGCGGCGACGUCAUGCGUCCGCGGGUGAGUCGGUCCUGAGGGGUCGGCCAUUGCCGUUUAAAAGGGGGGGCCUUUUGCCCCCCGCACUCGAAAGGGAAUCAGGCCACGGUUCCUGUACCCAGAACCCGAUAUGAUCGCCCGACUCACGAGUACCGAGGACGGAGUCUAGCAGCGGGGAGCAGGGUAGCCGCAUCUGUAUAUACCCCCUUUCUGCGGUUGCUUGGCAAGCUGCUGCUGGUUGAGAGGCUCCCGAUGGGGAAAGGGGCUGGCGUGAAAUGCGGCGACGCGCGCGAGCCAGGAGACGCCAGCGGUCGGACCGGCCAGGACUAUCUCUUCUGGUUGAGAGACGGUGAGCCCCCCGGAGUUUGGGCCUCGGGCCGAGAAGGGGGGGAAGUACUCGCAAAGCGUCCCCGAGUAGGGCGUCCGGGAACCGUCCGCUGGCCCUUGAAAAUCCUGGGGAGAGAGAGCAAAGAAAAAAAUCGAUUCGGGCCUGGGCCGUACCGAUAUCCGCAUCAGGUCUCCAAGGUUUGAAGCCUCUGGCCAAUAGAACACUGUAGGUAAGGGAAGUCGGCAAGUUGGAUCCGUAACUUCGGAAGAAGGAUUGCCUCUGGGGGCCGGGCAGCGCCUGGUCCGACCGGAAGCGGAGAAGGGGCCCGCCUGUCAAAAUGCUGGGGGGCAACCCGCCGUGGAAGGGCACGACUUAAGUGGCCGGGAAUCGAGUGCGCGUGUCGUAAUGGGCCGCGCCCCCGCAACCGCAAGGGCUGCCGGAGCGGUCGACGUGGAGGUGUCACGGUCCGGGGGAAUCCGACUGUCUAAUUAAAACAUAGCCUCUCGAAAACCGGCGAGCGGUGCUGACGGGAGGUGAAUUCUGCCCAGUGCCCUGAAUGUCAAAGUGGAGAAAUGCACAUAAGCGCGGGUAAACGGCGGGAGUAACUAUGACUCUCUUAAGGUAGCCAAAUGCCUCGUCAUCUAAUUAGUGACGCGCAUGAAUGGAUUAACGAGAUUCCCACUGUCCCUACCUACUAUCUAGCGAAACCACAGCCAAGGGAACGGGCUUGGCGAAGACAGCGGGGAAAGAAGACCCUGUUGAGCUUGACUCUAGUCCGACUCUGGCAGGCGGCGCGGGCGGUGUAGCAUAGGGAGGAGACCCCACCGAGGCGCAUCCCGUCGUCAGGGACGGCCGGGGGCUAGCACGGGUGCGGGGUGGUAGAGCGCGGACCCUCCUUUGCCCUGGCGUGCGCGUGCGGCAAUGGGCCACCUGGUGGCCUAGGGCUUGCUUGUUUGCGUCGGGCCGGGGAGAUCGUGCCUCCCUCCGUCCUGCUGGUUGGUCUCUGAGCCCCCUGGCGGCGGCUCAACGGGGACCCGAGCUUGAAAUACUCCCACGUGCGCGUCCGUCUGCCUCCAUCCGGUGAAGCGGGCUUUGGGCGUUACCCCCAUGGCCGGUUGGGGGGCCAUUUUGUCACACAAGAGCUAAGUCGCCCCCUCGCCACUCUUACCACGAGGCCGGCGAGGCUGGCGGCGACCCGGUCCGGAGACAAAGUCAGGCGGGGAGUUUGGCUGGGGCGGUACGCCCGUCAAAAGAUAACGCGGGCGACCUAAGGCCAGCUCAGCUGCGGUUAGAAACCUGGCGUAGAGCACAAGGGCAAAAGCUGGCUUGACCGAGCGCAUCCAGUAAGUGCGCCGGCUGCGAAAGCAAGGCCUAGAGAUCCUCUCGGACCCACAGUGGUGCCUGGGAGCGCAGAUCAGGGGAGAGGUGUCAGAAAAGUUACCACAGGGAUAACUGGCUUGUGGCGGCCAAGCGUUCCUAGCGACGUCGCCGUUUGAUCCUUCGAUGUCGGCUCUUCCUAUCACGGCGAGGCAGGACUCGCCAAGCGUUGGAUUGUUCACCCACCGACAGGGAACGUGAGCUGGGUUUAGACCGUCGCGAGACAGGUUAGUUUUACCCUACUGUUGACCGUUGGAUGUCGAAGCGGCAGGGCUGCUCAGUACGAGAGGAACAGUGGACCCGGGCCUCUGGUUUUGCGGUGGGCCGAACGACCCGUGCCGCCAAGCUAGGCCCGUCCGAACGCCUCUC
rnacentral:rRNA from 1 species